rnacentral:rRNA from 1 species
AUUGAACGCUCGCGGUAGGCAUAACACAUGCAAGUCCAGCGGAGCGGCGGACGGGUCAGUAAUGCCUAGGCAUCUGCCUGGUAGUGGGGGAUAGCGUCCGGAGCCGGGCGCUAAUCACUCAUACUAUAAGAGGAGCCUAGGGUGGAUUAGCUGGUUGGUGGGGUAAAGGCCUACCAAGGCGACGAUCCGUAACUGGUCUGCGAGGAUGAGCAGUCACACUGGAACGGAGACACGGGUCAUACUCCUACGCUAGGCAGCAGUGUGGAAUAUUGGACAAUGGGCGAAAGCCUGAUGCAGCCAUGCGGCGGUUGAGAAGAAGGUCUUCGGAUGGUAAAGGACUUUAAGUUGGGAAGCGGUACCAACAGAAUAAGCACCUGCUAACGUCGUACCAGCAGCCGCGGUAAUAC